rnacentral:rRNA from 1 species
UACGAAGGGGGCUAGCGUUGCUCGGAAUCACUGGGCGUAAAGCGCACGUAGGCGGAUUGUUAAGUCAGGGGUGAAAUCCUGGAGCUCAACUCCAGAACUGCCUUCGAUACUGAGAGUCUCGAGUCCGGGAGAGGUGAGUGGAACUGCGAGUGUAGAGGUGAAAUUCGUAGAUAUUCGCAAGAACACCAGUGGCGAAGGCGGCUCACUGGCCCGGUACUGACGCUGAGGUGCGAAAGCGUGGGGAGCAAACAGG